GAUGACAUCAUACAUAUGAUGACAUCACAAUGAUGUCCAACCCUUUCCAAAAGUAUAAAAAGGUUGAACAAAUUGGAGAUUGGUCAUUCUCGGAUUCCCAUCCAGCGAUUUACUAAGGAUUUACUGAGUAUUCAACCACAGGAUUCGCGAGACCGAACGACCAACUGUAGACAAAGAACCUUGUUUGAGACAGAAACUCAACCUGCUGAGUAAUAUUUUUGUGGAAUUUAUUUGAUUGGCAUCACCUUUGCUUUGACGGUAAAAUGCCAGGAAAGAAGAAGAAAAACACCUCUCGUCGUGGACAAAACGACAAAGGUUGUGGCUCUGACCAGGACAAAAGUAGCAAGCUAGAAGAUCUUCUGGAGAACCCAAUAGGAGAUUUGCUGGAGGCCAAUGAACAGCCCGACCAGCCGUUGGACGAGGCCCCAGAACCAGCAAACCAAAACACUCCCAAGAUGGGGGAAGUGAAAAAGCUACAUGAACUGGAGCAGAGGUGCAAAAACCUCCAGGCAGAGAAAGUCCUUCUGACAAAGGGCAUGAAAAAACUGGAGGAGAAAGUCAGAGAUCUCCAGCUUGAAAAUCAAGAGCUGGAGCUGAAAAAGGAAUUGGCUGAAGAGGAAUUUUGGGCUCUGCAGGAACAAGAAAGAACUCGCAAGGACGAGAUGAAAGAGACGCAGAAAAUGAAAAAAUGAAACUCUACAGACAGAAAAACUGGAUCUGGAAGCUAAAAAUGAUGAUCUCCAGUUGGUAAGUAACGCUACGAAACGGCAGAAGAAGACAUUCUUCUGCUGUUUCAAGAGCGAGAGAGGAGGACAAAAUGGUAGGAAAAAAGUAAAGAAAGAGAAGAGGAGGAAGGUGGGUUGCUGGAGCUGGAUGUUCUAAACUUCCUUUCUCCAACUUCUUACCAAAAAAUGAAAAAAAAAUUCAAAAUCUCCAGAAAGAAAAACUGGAUCUGGAUAUUGAAAAUGAAAAUCUACAGACAGAAAAACUGGAUUUGGAAGCUAAAAAUGAUGAUCUCCAGUUGGUAAGUAAUGCUAAGAAACAGCAGAAGAAGAGAUUCUUCUGCUGUUUCAAGAGUGAGAGAGGAGGACAAAAUGGUAAAAAAAAAGUAAAGAAAGAGAAGAGGAAGAAGGUGGGUUGCUG
ensembl:lncRNA